AAAUCUUAGACAUUAAUUCAUCCUUUGGCCGCUAUCCCUAUAAAUAUCUCAACAAAGUAGUAGCUUUAGUUCAUUAGUUGUUUGUGCUUCACUAGUCAUCUAAACAAAACCAAACACCUUUCCUUUGGCCUCUCCUCCUUUUAUCUUUUAUAUCAAUCCUCAUCUUCAAUAACACCACUCUCAAAACAAAUGAGAAACUUAUUCCCCAUAUUUAUGUUAAUCACCAAUCUAGCAUUCAACGACAACAACAACAGUAAUAAUAUCAUCAACACGACCUGCAGAGCCACCACAAACUACCCCUUGUGCCUCACCACCCUCCACUCUGAUCCCCGUACCUCCGAGGCCGAGGGGGCGGACCUCACCACCCUCGGCCUCGUCAUGGUAGAUGCGGUAAAAUUAAAGUCCAUCGAAAUAAUGAAAAGUAUAAAAAAACUCGAAAAAUCGAACCCCGAGUUGAGACUACCUCUUAGCCAAUGUUACAUAGUGUAUUAUGCUGUUCUACAUGCUGAUGUAACUGUUGCUGUUGAAGCUUUAAAAAGAGGAGUCCCUAAAUUUGCUGAAAAUGGAAUGGUUGAUGUUGCUGUAGAAGCAGAAACUUGUGAGUUUAGUUUUAAGUAUAAUGGAUUGGUUUCUCCAGUUUCUGAUAUGAAUAAGGAGAUUAUUGAACUGUCUUCUGUGGCUAAAUCUAUUAUUAGAAUGCUAUUAUGAGGAAAUUAAAGAACCAAAGAUACAAGGUUCUGGUUAUGUUAGUUUAUUAGUGCUGUAAUAGGAUUUUUAUAUUCCUGUGUUUUUUUUGCUUUUUUUAUUUCAUUUGGGUGCUUGUGUGUAUAUGUGAAAAUGAGUGUGAAUUAUGUCAAACAUAAACAUAGAUUAGAAAUUACUCCUGCAUAAUUAUGUACAGUUUUUUAUAUUUAAGUGUAUUUAUCUCUUUUCUUUGAGUGUGUGGGUGUGCGUAAGCGAGUGUGAUCUUUAUUAUACUUAGAAAUUUAGAAUUUAAGAGGGGAGCUUUGGAGCAACUAUAAAGU
rnacentral:lncRNA from 1 species